rfam:TPA: Bos taurus chromosome 2, whole genome shotgun sequence.
UCCCUGAUGGCUCAGUGGUAAAGAAUCUGUCUGCUAAUGCAGGAGACAUAGGUUCAAUCCCUUAUCUGGGAA